rnacentral:rRNA from 1 species
CGUUGGUGACCAGCGGAGGGAUCAUUACCGAGUUAUUCAACUCAUCAACCCUGUGAACUUACCUAAACGUUGCUUCGGCGGGAAUAGACGGCCCCGUAAAACGGGCCGCCCCCGCCAGAGGACCCUUAACUCUGUUUCUAUAAUGUUUCUUCUGAGUAAAACAAGCAAAUAAAUUAAAACUUUCAACAACGGAUCUCUUGGCUCUGGCAUCGAUGAAGAACGCAGCGAAAUGCGAUAAGUAAUGUGAAUUGCAGAAUUCAGUGAAUCAUCGAAUCUUUGAACGCACAUUGCGCCCGCCAGUAUUCUGGCGGGCAUGCCUGUUCGAGCGUCAUUACAACCCUCAGGCCCCCGGGCCUGGCGUUGGGGAUCGGCGGAGCCCCCCGUGGGCACACGCCGCCCCCCAAAUACAGUGGCGGUCCCGCCGCAGCUUCCAUCGCGUAGUAGCUAACACCUCGCGACUGGAGAGCGGCGCGGCCACGCCGUAAAACACCCAACUCUUCUGAAGUUGACCUCGAAUCAGGUAGGAAU